GACGAACGCUGGCGGCGUGCCUAACACAUGCAAGUCGAACGGAGUUGAGCCCUUCGGGACUUAACUUAGUGGCGAACGGGUGAGUAACGCGUGAGGAACCUGCCUUUCAGUGGGGGACAACAGUUGGAAACGACUGCUAAUACCGCAUAAUACUUUCGAGCGGCAUCGUUUGAAAGUCAAAGAUUUAUUGCUGAAAGAUGGCCUCGCGUCUGAUUAGCUAGUUGGUGGGGUAACGGCUCACCAAGGCGACGAUCAGUAGCCGGUCUGAGAGGAUGAACGGCCACAUUGGGACUGAGAUACGGCCCAGACUCCUACGGGAGGCAGCAGUGGGGAAUAUUGGGCAAUGGGGGAAACCCUGACCCAGCAACGCCGCGUGAAGGAAGAAGGCCUUCGGGUUGUAACGUCUUUACCUAGGACGAAAAAGUAGACGGUACCUGGAGAAAAGACAACGG
rnacentral:rRNA from 1 species